CUUUCAACAACGGAUCUCUUGGCUCUCGCAUCGAUGAAGAACGCAGCGAAAUSCGAUACGUAAUGUGAAUUGCAGAAUUCAGUGAAUCAUCGAAUCUUUGAACGCACCUUGCGCCCCUUGGUAUUCCGAGGGGCACACCCGUUUGAGYGUCGUGAACACCCUCAACCUUCUCGGUUUCUUGACCGGGAAGGCUUGGACUUUGGAGGUUUUCCUUUGCUGGCCUUCUCUUUGAAGCCAGCUCCUCCUAAAUGAAUUAGUGGGGUCCGCUUUGCCGAUCCUUGACGUGAUAAGUACGCUUCUACGUCUUGGGUUUCGCACCAUUGGCCUGGAACCCGCUUCCAAUAGUCUUCGAAAUGAAAAGACAAAUGUCCGAGUUGCGUCGCGAGCUCGGACCUUCUACACCGACCUGACCUCAAAUCGGGAGG
rnacentral:rRNA from 1 species